rnacentral:lncRNA from 1 species
AACUGAGACAAAGGUCUGAGAACUUGCAAUCUGGUGUAUGAGUAGGAAGUUCUGACAUGAAUCUUCCGUUGUGCUCCCUUGGCAGGAACUUCCAAGGCUCCCUUUACUCCCUGCUAUCUGUGACAUAGAAGCUAUAGAGGAAACUGUCUGAUGAGAAAGAAAAAAAAACCCCACUGGCGCAAAUGGGAACCCAUAAGCUGUAAAGUUAAAGACAAGUCGACUUCCGUUGUCAUUUGCUGCUCCGAGUGCAAAUGAGCCAUUCAGCCCUUCCAUGGAGCCCAUCACGGACCACCUUUCUGCAUGGAAGGUUCGCAAUAGCCUCCUUUCCCACAAGCAAGACCACACACGUUUACAGAUUUGGAUUCGUCGAAGCCAUGCUUGUCUCACUGAUGCUUUCUCCUACAGCCUGCUCCUGUCUUGGUUUUUCGCACAAAACAAGAAAGGAAAAAAAUUAAGGGUAAGGUCCCCUUUUCCAAGUGGCCAGAAUUGCAGUGCAAAAUGCAUAGUGAAUGUAAGUCUUUCCCGAAUUGCAUGUCUGCGAUGCCGGGCAAAAACACCUUUAAAUAGCUUAAGUUACUACUAAGCCAAACACUGUGAAAUGGUUUUUAUGGCAAUUGACGACGAUUUUAAACUGCGUCUCCACAAGAAUACUGGCAUGCAUGUUACAGUUAUUUCCCCUCUUUAAAACCAAAGGCAGUAACCAUUUGAGGAAUUCGGACUAAUCCAAACUUUAAGGGGAACAUUUUCCCCCAUUGUGUGAAGCCUUUAACGAGCUGGGAUUUAAUUGGGGUCUGAACUUUGAAUGCGUGUAUUUUUUCCCUAUUGGCAGGGGGCAUGUUUGCAAACAGAUCUUUAACUUAUAGCUAUAAAACCGUGCGGCGUCCGGGGGGCCAGGCUGUGUAACCGUGUGUGCGUGCGUGCCGCUGCUCAACGCUUCCCCUUUCCGCCGCACUCCCCCUCCCCGC